rnacentral:tRNA from 1 species
GCACCCAUAGCUCAAUUGGAUAGAGCGUUAGACUACGGAUCUAAAGGUUGGGGGUUCAACUCCCUCUGGGUGUACCA